CAAUAGCGUAUAUUUAAGUUGUUGCAGUUAAAAAGCUCGUAGUUGGAUUUCGGGUGGGACGCAGCGGUCUCGCAUUGCGUUUGUACUGCUGCAGCCCUCCUUCUUGCCGGGGGCGGCCUCUCGGACUUCACUGUCUGGGGGUCAGAAUCGGCGAUGUUACUUUGAGUAAAUUAGAGUGUUCAAAGCAAGCUUACGCUCUGAAUAUAAUAGCAUGGGAUAACACGACAGGACUCUGGCCUAUCGUGUUGGUCUAUAGGACCAGAGUAAUGAUUAAGAGGGACAGUCGGGGGCAUUCGUAUUCCGUUGUCAGAGGUGAAAUUCUUGGAUUUACGGAAGACGAACAUCUGCGAAAGCAUUUGCCAAGGAUGUUUUCAUUGA
rnacentral:rRNA from 1 species